rnacentral:rRNA from 1 species
CGGGACGGGGUGGAGUAAUGUCUGGGAAACUGCCCGAUGGAGGGGGAUAACUACUGGAAACGGUAGCUAAUACCGCAUAACGUCGCAAGACCAAAGAGGGGGACCUUCGGGCCUCUUGCCAUCGGAUGUGCCCAGAUGGGAUUAGCUAGUAGGUGGGGUAACGGCUCACCUAGGCGACGAUCCCUAGCUGGUCUGAGAGGAUGAUCAGCCACACUGGGACUGAGACACGGCCCAG